rnacentral:tRNA from 3 species
ACGGAUAAGGGUAAUGGGUAUUGAUACCGACUCGAUUCGUAAUCGAGCGGUCGCGGGUUCAAAUCCCGCCAUCG